rnacentral:misc_RNA from 1 species
UUUGGCGACGGGACGCUCCAUGGUUGCCCGUUUUUCGGGCUUCCCUGGGGACCUUCGCCGGGCAAGACGGAUGGGGAGGUGCACCACCGAUUCUAGGCAUCAGGACGUUGUGGCUAUCCUCAUUGGAAGGUCGCAUCAUCCCAAUGCCGGAAGAGGUGGUCGUGCUGUGACAACCGGCCUGAGAACGAAAAUUGUUGGAUACAGAAUCACGGUGUGCCCACCGUGUCACCGGUGAGAAGCAGUCUGGCGGCCGAAAGGCUGCUGGUUCUUCCACGUCGUUGGCGUAUGGGUGCAAAAAUAUGGGAUAUAUAGUGCCUGUUCUCGCGCUCUGUGGACUUUCGGUCGUCGUCCUCAUAGCAGACCCGUUGUGCUAAGCACGAUGGGAUGCUCGGGC